UGGGGAAUCUUGCGCAAUGGGCGAAAGCCUGACGCAGCAACGCCGCGUGGGGGAUGAAGCUUCUCGGAGUGUAAACCCCUUUCGACCCGGAUGAAACCCCGCAAGGGAUUGACAGUACGGGUAUAAGAAGCCCCGGCUAACUACGUGCCAGCAGCCGCGGUAAAACGUAGGGGGCCAGCGUUGCUCGGAAUUACUGGGCGUAAAGGGUCUGUAGGCGGUGCGGCAAGUCGGAAGUGAAAUCUCAGGGCUUAACCCUGAGGCUGCUCCCGAAACUGCUGUGCUCGAGUGCGAGAGAGGUGAGUGGAAUUGCAGGUGUAGCGGUGAAAUGCGUAGAUAUCUGCAGGAACAUCCGAGGCGAAAGCGGCUCACUGGAUCGCAACUGACGCUGAGAGACGAAAGCUAGGGGAGCAAACAGGAUUAGAUACCCUGGUAGUCCUAGCCCUAAACGAUCAGGACUGGGCGUGGGCCCUGUACGGGGCUCGUGCCGUAGCUAACGCGUUAAGU
rnacentral:rRNA from 1 species